rnacentral:lncRNA from 1 species
UUUGUGUUUUAUGUUUUUAUUUUAUUUUAUUAUUUCCCUUUUUUUUUUUACUAUUUUACAUUUGGUUUGUUUUUACUGUUGGAUAACGUUUGUUGCAUGUAUUUCAGGUUCUUGGUGUUAUUGUUGGAUUAGGUGGUGAUCAUUAGUGGUAGUGGAUGAAAUGAUCACUCCACUUACUGUUGCUUGUUGUUAAAAGAUCUUCCCGAAAAUUUGAUACUACUGAAGAAAAAG